CGCAGGCCUGGGAAGAGGAGGCGUUCGAACCGAGCAGGCGAGACACGGCGCCACACUCGCAGGGACAGUUGGCAAGAGAAAAAAAACAGGAAAAGAGAAGGCAGUGUGACCACAGAAGCAGAGACUUGAGUGAUGGAGCCACAUGCCAAGGAAUGCUGGCAACCACCAGCAGCUGGAAGAGGCUGGGAAUUAAUUCUCUCCCUGGAGCUUCCAGAGAGAGUGCAGGCCUGACAACACCUUGACUUCAGUCCAGUGAACACUGAUAUAGGGCUUCCAGCCUCCAAAACUGUGAGAGAAUAAAUUUAUGUUGUCUUAA